CAGAAAAUAGUUUAAUUAAAAUAUUAAUUUUGGAGAUUAAUGAUAAAGAAGUUUUCUUUUUUUCUGA
rnacentral:tRNA from 1 species